rnacentral:lncRNA from 1 species
GGAGGAUUACUCUGCUAGAUACACCUGCACUUAAGCUCCUCCUGGAAGUCAGGGAUACAGCCAGCUGGAUUAUUUUGUAUCUCCACAUGAUCCCUAAUACUGCUGUAUAUCCCAAAUGUUUGGGGAAGUGAACAGUCCCCAGGUGCCAGGAGGAGAGUACAGGAGACAUGUCUGCUGAGGCUAGGACUGGUCUAUAUUUCCCAAACAAAGGAAAAACAGCAUUUUAAAAAUUAGAAAAAGUUAGAGGGUUUUUUCACUGACUUUUACCUUUGUUUUCAACUAUAUUGUCCCUGUGAAAGCAGGAGAGAAGACACGAACAAAAAAUAGCCAGGAAGUCAACAGAGGUGUGGAUUCCUACAUCGUCAUAUGGAAAAGUUCAGUUGCAGGAUGUUGUAUUUGUGUCAGGUCAACUUGGAGUAAGACAUGGUGCCUUAACUGGAGGUUCUGGAGGUGUGUGAUCAAG